rnacentral:rRNA from 1 species
GUGAGGAAUAUUGGUCAAUGGGCGCAAGCCUGAACCAGCCAUCCCGCGUGCAGGAAGACGGCGCUAUGCGUUGUAAACUGCUUUUCCAGGGAGAGAAACUUGCGCACGUGUUGCGCAAUUGACGGUACCCUGGGAAUAAGCAUCGGCUAACUCCGUGCCAGCAGCCGCGGUAAUACGGAGGAUGCGAGCGUUAUCCGGAUUCAUUGGGUUUAAAGGGUGCGUAGGCGGACUAUUAAGUCAGUGGUGAAAUCCUGCAGCUUAACUGCAGAACUGCCAUUGAUACUGAUAGCCUUGAGUUUGGUUAAGGUAGGCGGAAUGUGUAAUGUAGCGGUGAAAUGCUUAGAUAUUACACAGAACACCAAUUGCGUAGGCAGCUUACUGAGCCGACACUGACGCUGAGGCACGAAAGCGUGGGGAUCGAACAGGAUUAGAUACCCGUGUAGUCC